rnacentral:lncRNA from 1 species
AUUGACAUCCCUCAAACCAAGAUUCUACAGAGCUGACAGAGUCAGAAUUCUAAGACAGUUGGGGGAAACUGACAACUGUCUUUCUCAAUCUGGGUGGCAGACUGAAAGGCUGUGUGUCAAAGGGUCUCCCUGAAGAAAUCAUCUUUGAAGCUGCGUCACUUGGAUUAUCCUCAAGAAAAGGUUGAGUGUGUGUUUCCCUUUCACACUGGAGGACAGAUGCAAGAGACAGAGUUAAAACAAGCAGCCAGGACAUUAUCAUUUCAUUCAAAUGCACUGCACAACCCUGCCUUUCUCUCAGCCCGGGAUCCUGUCAAGUGUUCUAAGCCCAAUCAUUCGAGACCCUUGCUUCCAGAGGAAAUGUCCAGAGGCUGCACACAAAGGUCAGUCCAUGAAAUUGAAGGCACACCUAGAACUCUGACCACAUUGACUAUGGGGAAAUCCUAGAAAAUGGUCAAUCAGAUUCAAUUAACUUAUUUUUAGGAUGAAUUGCUUUCAUAAAAGAAUAAUAAUUAAGAUGCCAUAAUCAUUUUCUCAUUUACCAAUUGAUCCAAGUUGGUUGUUUAAAAAAUUAAUCUAACAUAGUCAAAUUAAUAACUCGCUAAUCAUCACUGGCCUUGAAAUUAGAGUUCAAUUUGGAAACAUAUGUAGGUCUUUUUUUUUAAACCUUUAAAAGACUUUUUAAAUUACGAACAAAAAAAUCAUUAACAAACAGGAAUAUUUUUAUACACAAAAGGUG